rnacentral:rRNA from 1 species
AUUGAACGCUGGCGGCAUGCCUUACACAUGCAAGUCGAAUGGUAACAGGUCUUCGGAUGCUGACGAGUGGCGAACGGGUGAGUAAUACAUCGGAACGUGCCCGAUCGUGGGGGAUAACGAAGCGAAAGCUUUGCUAAUACCGCAUACGAUCUACGGAUGAAAGCAGGGGACCGCAAGGCCUUGCGCGAACGGAGCGGCCGAUGGCAGAUUAGGUAGUUGGUGGGAUAAAAGCUUACCAAGCCGACGAUCUGUAGCUGGUCUGAGAGGACGACCAGCCACACUGGGACUGAGACACGGCCCAGACUCCUACGGGAGGCAGCAGUGGGGAAUUUUGGACAAUGGGCGAAAGCAUGAUCCAGUCAUGCCGCGUGCAGGAUGAAGGCCUUCGGGUUGUAAACUGCUUUUGUACGGAACGAAAAGACUCUGGUUAAUACCUGGGGUCCAUGACGGUACCGUAAGAAUAAGCACCGGCUAACUACGUG